rnacentral:rRNA from 1 species
AUUAGUUGUAUUAGCUGGAACUGCGGGGGGCUUGGGAACCCCGAGGCAGUUCGAGAGCUUCGCAGCAUAGUGAAGGUAGAAGGCCCCUCUCUUGUCUUUGUUAUGGAAACGAUGAUUAGAGGUAAAAGAGCGGAGGAUCUGCAGCAUACUCUAGGUUUUGGAGGCUGUUUUGAAGUAGAUAGUGUUGGUUUAGGUGGUGGGAUUGGCCUUUUU